AUUGAACGCUGGCGGCAUGCCUUACACAUGCAAGCCGAACGGCAGCGGGCCUUCGGGUGCCGGCGAGUGGCGAACGGGUGAGUAAUGCAUCGGAACGUGCCAUUGAGUGGGGGAUAACGUAGCGAAAGUUGCGCUAAUACCGCAUAUUCUGUGAGCAGGAAAGCAGGGGACCGCAAGGCCUUGCGCUCUUUGAGCGGCCGAUGUCAGAUUAGCUAGUUGGUGAGGUAAAGGCUUACCAAGGCGACGAUCUGUAGCGGGUCUGAGAGGAUGAUCCGCCACACUGGAACUGAGACACGGUCCAGACUCCUACGGGAGGCAGCAGUGGGGAAUUUUGGACAAUGGGGGCAACCCUGAUCCAGCCAUGUCGCGUGAGUGAAGAAGGCCUCGG
rnacentral:rRNA from 1 species